CCUACGGGAGGCUGCAGUGAGGAAUAUUGGUCAAUGGGCUAAGGCCUGAACCAGCCAAGUCGCGUGAGGGAAGACGGUCCUAUGGAUUGUAAACCUCUUUUGUCGGGGAGCAACGAGGCCACGUGUGGCCGAUGUGAGAGUACCCGACGAAAAAGCAUCGGCUAACUCCGUGCCAGCAGCCGCGGUAAUACGGAGGAUGCGAGCGUUAUCCGGAUUUAUUGGGUUUAAAGGGUGCGUAGGCGGAACAUUAAGUCAGCGGUAAAAUCGAGGGGCUCAACCCCUUUAAGCCGUUGAAACUGGUGAUCUGGAGUGGGCGAGAAGUAUGCGGAAUGCGUGGUGUAGCGGUGAAAUGCAUAGUUAUCACGCAGAACUCCGAUUGCGAAGGCAGCAUACCGGCGCCCGACUGACGCUGAGGCACGAAAGCGUGGGGAUCGAACAGGAUUAGAUACCCUGGUAGUC
rnacentral:rRNA from 1 species